rnacentral:rRNA from 1 species
UACGUAGGGGGCAAGCGUUGUCCGGAUUUAUUGGGCGUAAAGAGCGUGUAGGCGGCCUGAAAGGUCAGCUGUGAAAACUCGAGGCUCAACCUCGAGACGUCGGUUGAAACCAUCUGGCUAGAGUCCGGAAGAGGAGUGUGGAAUCCCCGGUGUAGCGGUGAAAUGCGCAGAUAUCGGGAAGAACACCCGUGGCGAAGGCGGCACUCUGGGACGGUACUGACGCUGAGACGCGAAAGCGUGGGGAGCGAACAGG